UCUUCUUAAGGAUUUCUGGAGUGUCUACAACAACAUUCCUCCUGUGACACGUGCCUCCAAUAUGCAGUUACCAUUUAAUGCAAGGUGAAGGACAGACCCUUUGGCUGCAGUUUGGGAAGAGCUACUGUUAGCAACCACUGGACAGCAGUUCACAGACUGGUGUGCAGCAGGUAAUUUAAAAAUGAUUGAGGCAAUCACGACAGAUUGAGCUCGAACACAGAACAUGGAAGCUCGAACACAGAAACAUGCUAAAAAUGAGGUAUAGAGCUGGAAAUCAUAUUCACACCUCUCAUCAUUAAGAAGAGAACAAAGUAUUCUGGCUGUUUUAGCACAAGACUUGCACUCAAAAGCCUGCAUCCCUGAGAAGCCAGCAGGUUUUCUAGUUAUUAAAUAUCUGUGUUAGCCAGUAUUGAAAUGAUGAAUAUUCAUUCUCAGUGACAGGAUUCUGGAGCCCCAAAUGACACUUCCCUACAGAUUGUUUGGACUGUCACUGUUGGAAGCAACUAAAUUGGGUACAUGCCCCCGUAGUCCCUUCUGGUUAGGAGCUGUCAAGGGAAGCAAUGGUGCAGACCAGAAGCAGAGGGAAGCUGUAUGGCUUGCCGGUGGUGAUAUUAAAAGCCACAGCAGGGCUAUAACACAAACCUGGCUGUCUUGAACCCCAGGUUAGCAAUAUUUUCAUUA